GGAACCCUGACGCAGCGACGCCGCGUGGGUGAGGAAGGCCUUCGGGUUGUAAAGCCCUGUCAGGUGGGAAGAAGUGUAUCAUGGCUAAUAUCCAUGGUAUUUGACGGUACCACCAAAGGAAGCACCGGCUAAUCCGUGCCAGCAGCCGCGGUAAUA
rnacentral:rRNA from 1 species